GACGAACGCUGGCGGCGUGCUUAACACAUGCAAGUCGAACGGCAAGGCCCUGCUUUUGUGGGGUGCUCGAGUGGCGAACGGGUGAGUAACACGUGAGUAACCUGCCCUUGACUUUGGGAUAACUUCAGGAAACUGGGGCUAAUACCGGAUAGGAGCUCCUGCUGCAUGGUGGUGGUUGGAAAGUUUCGGCGGUUGGGGAUGGACUCGCGGCUUAUCAGCUUGUUGGUGGGGUAGUGGCUUACCAAGGCUUUGACGGGUAGCCGGCCUGAGAGGGUGACCGGCCACAUUGGGACUGAGAUACGGCCCAGACUCCUACGGGAGGCAGCAGUGGGGAAUAUUGCACAAUGGGCGGAAGCCUGAUGCAGCAACGCCGCGUGCGGGAUGACGGCCUUCGGGUUGUAAACCGCUUUCGCCUGUGACGAAGCGUGAGUGACGGUAAUGGGUAAAGAAGCACCGGCUAACUACGUG
rnacentral:rRNA from 1 species